GAUGAACGCUGGCGGCGUGCUUAACACAUGCAAGUCGAGCGAUGAAGUUUCCUUCGGGAAACGGAUUAGCGGCGGACGGGUGAGUAACACGUGGGUAACCUGCCUCAUAGAGUGGAAUAGCCUUCCGAAAGGAAGAUUAAUACCGCAUAAUGUUGAAAGAUGGCAUCAUCAUUCAACCAAAGGAGCAAUCCGCUAUGAGGUGGACCCGCGGCGCAUUAGCUAGUUGGUGGGGUAACGGCCUACCAAGGCGACGAUGCGUAGCCGACCUGAGAGGGCGAUCGGCCACAUUGGGACUGAGACACGGCCCAGACUCCUACGGGAGGCAGCAGUGGGGAAUAUUGCACAAUGGGGGAAACCCUGAUGCAGCAACGCCGCGUGAGUGAUGAAGGUUUUCGGAUCGUAAAGCUCUGUCUUUGGGGAAGAUAAUGACGGUACCCAAGGAGGAAGCCACGGCUAACUACGUGCCAGCCGCCGCCGUAAUAC
rnacentral:rRNA from 1 species